GCGGGGCUGCGCGGGCCAGGCCCGAGGCCGCGGAGCCGCCAUGUCCCGCGGGCCGGGCGCGGCCGGGGCCGGCGCCGGGGCCCUGGACCUGGACGCGGAGCGGGAGAGGAUCCGGCGGGAGAUCGAGCAGCUGGAGCGGAGCCUGGAGCCCGGCGGGGCCGCCGGCGGCGCGAACGUGUCCGGCUGCAGCUCCGGCACGGAUGAUGGUGAAGAUGAUGACUCAGGUUCUCAUCCUGAAAUGGAAACGGAAGGAGAAGAUGACAGUAGCGAUGAUGCUGAUGAUGAUGAUGUUGAAAGCAGUUUGCCACAGGAUCCAGAAACCUGUCUGCAGAUGAACCAUGUGUACCAGGAAGUCAUCCAGGAAAAGAUUGAGGAAGUUGAGCUUCUCCUUGCACAAAACAAAGAGCAGCAGAAGGAAAUAAUGUGUGAGCUUGGAGGUCCAAAAAUAGCAAAGGCAGGAGAUGGCAGAAAUCUACCAGCAAAUAUAUUUUUGGGUCACUUUAUGAAGCCAUACUUCAAGGAUAAAACAACAGGAAUUGGCCCUCCUUCCAAUGAAGAUGCCAAGGAAAAGGCGGCUCAGGGCAUAAAAUCCUUUGAACAACUGAUUUCAGCAAAAUGGAAGAGCAGGGAGAAGACAUUACUGCAGAAAUCAGUAGUCAGUGACCGCUUGCAGCGCCUGCUCCAGCCCAAGUUACUGAAGAUGAGUUAUUGGAAUCAGAAACUGGAGAAAGUCAAGACUGAAAUGGAGAAACAGAUCUUGGAAAAGCAAAUCAAAGAAGUGGAGCGAGAAAUAGAGGCAAUUAACCAACUCCCAGAAAGUGACUUGUUAGGAAACAGAUUCGAUGAGCAUGACUGGGAGAAAAUUUCAAACAUCCACUUUGAUGGACAGCGUAGUCCAGAAGAACUGAAGAAGUUCUGGCAAAACUGGGAACAUCCAAGUAUCAACAAAAAGGAAUGGACUGAGGAGGAAAUAGAGAGGCUGAAGAAGAUAGCAGCUAACCAUGGUUACCUGGACUGGCAGGCCAUAGCCCAGGAGUUGGGGACAAACAGGACACCUUUCCAGUGCUUGCAGAAGUAUCAAGUCUAUAAUAAAGAUUUGAAAAGAAAAGAGUGGACCAAAGGUGAAGAUCAGAUGCUUUUAGAGCUUGUUCAAGAGAUGAGAGUAGGAAGUCACAUCCCAUACAAGAAAAUUGCUUAUUACAUGGAAGGAAGAGAUUCUGCUCAGCUGAUUUACCGCUGGACAAAGAGCGUGGACCCCAGUUUGAAGAAGGGACCCUGGACACCAGAGGAAGAUGCUAUGCUGUUGGCUGCAGUUAAGAAGUACGGAGAGCGUGACUGGUACAAAAUUCGGACAGAAGUGCCGGGGAGGAGCGAUGCUCAGUGCAGAGACCGGUACUUAAAAGCAUUGCACUGUGAUGUAAAGAAGGGCAAGUGGAGUUUAAAGGAAGAGGAGCAGCUAAUUGAACUGGUUCAAAAGCAUGGCCUGGGUCACUGGAGUAAAAUAGCUUCCGAGUUGCCACAUCGGACUGGCUCCCAGUGCCUGAGCAAGUGGAAACUCAUGAUUGGGUCUAAGAAAAGAUCUAGGCCAACAAAGCGCCGACACGUGCAAGAGAGUUCCAGCUCUUCAGAGACCAGCAGUGAAGACAUAGAACUGGACUUGUCAGACAGUUCAGAGGAGGAGACGGCGACAACCAAGGAGGAGUGUGCACUUCCCAACAUUGAUUUGUGGGUACCAACACAGACAAAUACACAGGAGUCAAACAAAGGAAGAUACCAAACUCCAUCCCUUUUCUGUCCUGAGAGUGCAAAGACCAGUAGCAGUGAAGUUCCAAGUGCAAUGUGUGCUGGAGGCAAGGACAGAGUUGCCAAUCAAUCAUCAGAGUUGAACACCCUCCUGAGGGGCAUUGCACGUCCACAUUCCACAGACAUCGUUGUGAGGGAUCCAGCAGAAGUAAUAAGCAAGGCCUCCAGGUGUGGAAAGCAAGUGCUGCGGGUUACCCUGGAGAACGUGAGGAGAAUAUUGAGGAAUAACACGUGCUUUCAGAGGAAACUUCAAUCAAAGAUACUAAAACCUUCUGCUGCUGUUCUGACAAAAGCAUCUGGAGUUAGUACUGAUGGCCAGAAGCUUCCGGGGCUGCAGAACAUCACAGAGAAAAUGUGUCGUCAGGAGAGAGAGCGCUUGAGAAGAAUGAACCUGGACAGAAAGCUGCUGAUGGCAGUGACGCCCUGGGUGGGCAACGUGCUGCUGCCCUGCACCUUGCAGACGGGGAAGAUGGCUUUUCAUCAGACAAAAGCUGACUACAUUCGAGAGAAGAUUAAAUCCAUCAAUCUCACGAGCACGCCCCUGUUCGCGCUUUUCAUUCAGCUCUUUCAGAUUGAUACCAAUGGCUGUAUGAAGAUUAUUCGUGAGAGGAGGCUGAGGCAGCUAGCGCUGCUUAGGGCGGAUGCAAGGCCUCAGCAGGCUUCCCAAAAUACGGACACUUCUCCAGGCAGCUCAUCACAGUCUUGUGUUCAGAGGAACUCCCGAAGGGGCGUCCCGAGGAAUGCUGUGAGGAGACCUCUUACCUUAAAAGCAAGGGACACUUCUGCUGCUGUCUUUGAGGGCAGCAGCCCAGCCACGCAGGGAGCUCUUCCAGCGCAAGUGCAGAGGCAUAAGCCUAAAACUGUCUCGGAACUACUGAGGGAGAAGCGGCUCAGAGAGUCCCGGGCUAAGAAAGCUGUGCAGAGGACGGUGUUUGUUGCCCCACAGAUGCUGGUUUCAGCACCUCUGAUAAUCCAGCACCCACCACAGCAAAUCAUUCCUUCUGCACAAGCAGGGAGCAAACCUGCAGCAGUUGGUUGUACCAACAACCAAGUACAGUGCUCAGCAGCUCCAGUGCCAGCGUUUACGUCUGUUACAGGUUCAACUCGUGCCGCUGUUGUGCUUGAAAACCAUUCCUCAUCAGUGCCGGGAACUGGGGAAAGCCCUGGUUCCUCACAAGGAACAGAACUACAGCCCAAUAAGGAACUAAAAGAGCAAGCUUUGGAAAGUAGCCUUGGAGGGGGUUUUCCAGGUACGAAUCCAGCUGCAGCAGAGAAGGCCCCAAAUCAGGGAGUCUGCAAUGGUCAGGUCCUUGCUGGUAGCUCAGCUUCAGUAGUGUUGCAAAACCAAGCUUUUGUGCCACAUCAGAUCACAGUGCUGCCUGUUGGCAUUGAGUCUGGCACCAACAAAUUGCCUCUUUCCACACCAGUUACCUGUGAGCUGAAUAGUACUGUGCCACAACAGAGGCCUGUCAAUCUCUUGCCUACUCUUGUAACCCCACAGACUGGUUCUCAUCUGAUUCCCAACAGCAUACUGCCUUUCACAUGGGUCAUAACACCCCAGGCUUUGCUCCCCACUGCUGUACAGACUGUGGUGGGGCUUCCCCAGGGACUGCCAGCUGCUGCUGUGAGAAAUCCAUGUCAGGCAACUGUGACUUCCAGUGGCAAUGUCUCUAGCUUAGGAGUGCCUCCUGUACCAGCUGGAGCAGAUGCACCUCACCCCAGCAGUGCAGAGACAAAAGCACCAAGUGCCCAGGUAGCAGAAGGAGCAUCUUUGGGAAAGGCAGGUGACCAUUCCACAAUUGCCUUGCCUGUGACCUCAGUGAGUCCUGGCAGCACCACAGCCAGUGUUUCUCCUGCAACACCUGCAUGUUCAGAGGGCUUCUCCAAGGCUUCGGACUCCUCUGCAGCUCAGACUGCUCCUGAUGCACCAGCCCUGCAAACUGUGCUGCUGCCCCAGACACAGCAACCCGCAGGCACUCAGGGGGCUGAUUCCCAACCUGUGUCGAGUCUCACUAGCUUGGGAAAGAGCCAUGAUUCCAUUACAACAAAUGGAUCAUCAUCCAAUCCAGGCAUCAUCACGAAAGGGAUUGUGCUCCAGCCAGGAGCUCCUCCUAACAAUGCCCCAAGGAACUCUGCUGCACAAGCAUUGAAAAACAGGCCUAUUGCCUCCAAGCCCCCGGCUGUGCAGCGUGCUGACAGUGCGCCCCAGCCAACCACUUCCAGGGCAGAAAAGACUGUCCUGGACUUGGGCCUGAUUUCCCUUGAAGAUGGGAGGCUGGUGAAGGAGUGGCUGAGUGGGAAAGAGGGUGUCCAGGUACCAUCACUGCAGACCAGGCUGCCUUAUUUGCCCCCUUUCCUGUGCAACUUAAGAACCCUUGCGAAUCUGCUCCUGCAGAAAACAGCUCUGGAAGAGCAAGCAGCAUCUCUUCUGCCUCCUGGCUCCAGUGGGGAUGAGGGUACUGGGGUUGAUUUGCAUGCCAUUGGAGAACUGGUGCAGCAGAAACUCGGUGAUAACCCUGCUUACCUCCUACUGAAAGCCAGAUUCCUAGCAGCCUUCACACUCCCAGCUGUACUAGCAAAUCUGCCUCCUCCGAAAGUGGCAACGACUCUGUCAGCCAGCAGGAAGCAAUAUGAAGAGAGUGACGAAGAGGAGUGGCAGAGUGAGAAGGAAGUGUCUGAGGAAGAGAGUUGUGGGAAUGAAUUAAAAGGAGUACAGUUGGAUUGGGCAGUUGGUGAUGAGCCUGGAGACAAAGAUGCUGAUUUACUAAAUCAGGGCAUGGGAGCUGACGAGGAUGCUGCACAGUCUGCCUUGGGCUCCUGCACUGAUGCAGCUGAUGCCAGUGCUCCUCAAAUCAGGAGAAGUACCCGCUUCAGGAAGAGGAGGAGGAUGUGAGAAGGAAAUGUGAGUCAUUUGAACGAGGUCUGCCUUCCUACAUGGCAGUAGGAGAUGCUCUUUGCACUAUUCACUUCUAACACUUCCAACAGCCUGACCAGAUGGACCUGGGGAAGAGAGGAAAAAAGCUGGACUGGUUUCCCAUUGCCUGAAGUCUGCAUCUUUAGAUAAGAGAGGUGCGAGGCUAGCUGAGGCAAAGCUCGUCAGAUCUAGUGCUGCAGAAAGUGCUGCUUCGUUCCACUGCGCUCCUGAGCUUCCCCAGAGCACGGGCGGGUCAGAGCACUGUGAGUUGCAACUCUUCUACAAGGGUGCUUCAGGCCAGGGGGACCGUGGGUACCAAUGGUGCUGUAACUGGGUGUCAAGACAUUAUGGAGCAAAGGGAAUGGUGUUGAAAUGGCUUUCCUCUUGCAGUGUACUCUGUUUUCCAUAAGCCAGUAUAGAUAACACUUUCUGCAAGAAACUCAGAUGUGGCAGGAGGUCUGCCAUGCAGCUGUGUGUGCUGUUCACCACAGGGCUGCCACCAUGAGGCACUGGUGUGAUCUGUGCUCUAAAUGAUUGUUCUCUUUUGCAAAUGCUGCUCGAGAGAUGUCCUUGUAAUCCUACUGCUUGUGGAAACGCUUUGUAUAACUAUAAGCAGCAGCUGGUUCUGUUCUUUUUCAGGAGUAAAUUGAUCUGUUACAGUAGAACAAAUAACUCUGGAGGCUGGAUUGGUCAGUUAACAGACAUUCUGAUUACCUUCAGCAAGGGCAGAGCUAAGAGAGCUGCUGUAUCUUUUUUUAAUGUGAAGCUAAUUUAAUGCCUAACAAGAAGCACAGGCAUAAAGAAUCUCGGAGCAUCUCUGCCCCACUCCUAAUGAUAACAUGGAGAAACUCUCCAGAAACUUAGAAAGCAGAACAAAGAGUAGAGUGGGAAGCUAAUGGGAAAAUGUGUCAUGCUGCCAUGGUAUCGGAGUGUAUGUUCUCAAGACUUUUCUAAAACAGACUGUUAGUGAGUUCUUGUUGCAGCUACAGUUCUAGGACUGUGGGAAGGCGGGGAGGCAGUCAAAGGUAUGAUGUUGAUGCUUUAACAUCAUCACAAUGCUGCUUGCUGUGCUGCUCCUUUAAUUACUGUUAGAGCCACAGCCUGUAAUUUGGGAAUCGUGGGUUAUGUUCCUUGCUUUGCCAAGACUUGACUCUCUUUCCCUCAAAAUACUGAGUUGUCAUCAUUAUGUUUGAAGCUUAAGGACAUCCAAAAUUAGAGGCAUCAUUAUAGAAAUCAUCCUUUUCAGCUGAACUCUAAACCAAGAGAGAAUUGUUGCUGUCACCUGCUUUCCUGUAUAAAGGUGUUACGUGAACAGCUGAAAGGCCAUUUGAAGAGCCUCUUUCUUCUGUGGCUUAUUUUGUCCCCUGAAAUCAGCUGGUCUGUGACCUUCACUCUUUCUAGUCUUCCUGACCACAACACAAAGAAACUUUCUGGACCCUAGCUGGUACGUCAGUGCUACAGAUUGGGAACCAAAGCCAGAACAAACCUACGGUCACUGCGUAUGUAAUGCUGCCAACUUGCAGUGCCACUCCUCCCCCAUCACCCACUCUGGCUUCCCCUUUUGCUUUUUUUUUUCUCUCUUCUCCCCUCUUCCCUUUCCCCUCUCAGGGUAUAGCUGAGUAGUUUCCCCUUUUCUCUUUUCUCAAACCAGUUUUGCUCCUGGAAUGAUCUUUGCUCUAGCCAGAAUAUAGAGGGAGGCUGCAUCCAAGACAAGUUUUCUCAGAGACAGGACACAGACAAGUGUUACUAGACCAGGAGAGGAAACAAGGAGGCUUGUUUGACUGCACAGGCUCAGGUUGGUCCAUGUAAUGCAGAAUGGUUUAUAUUAUAAGUUUUAUUUUACAGCUCUGAGGUAAGGAUGUGGUGUUUAUCAACAGGGGACUGCAACUCUUGUAAUCUGCUGGGGCUGGGUUGGUGUCAGGCAGAGCAAUUUCUCCAUAAGUCCAACUCACUAAAGUUAACUGGCAAUGUGAUGUGUAACAAGUAUGUGCUGAAGGUGUUUGGAGUC